GACGAACGCUGGCGGCGUGCCUAAUACAUGCAAGUCGAGCGGAUGAAAGAGGAGCUUGCUCCUCUCGAUUCAGCGGCGGACGGGUGAGUAACACGUGGGCAACCUGCCCUGUAGAUUGGGAUAACUCCGGGAAACCGGGGCUAAUACCGAAUAAUCCUUCGGACCUCAUGGUCCGAUGUUGAAAGACGGUUUCGGCUGUCACUACAGGAUGGGCCCGCGGCGCAUUAGCUAGUUGGUGAGGUAACGGCUCACCAAGGCCACGAUGCGUAGCCGACCUGAGAGGGUGAUCGGCCACACUGGGACUGAGACACGGCCCAGACUCCUACGGGAGGCAGCAGUAGGGAAUCUUCCACAAUGGACGAAAGUCUGAUGGAGCAACGCCGCGUGAGUGAAGAAGGUUCUCGGAUCGUAAAACUCUGUUGUGAGGGAAGAGCAAGUACCGGAGUAACUGCCGGUGCCUUGACGGUACCUCAUUAGAAAGCCACGGCUAACUACGUGCCAGCAGCCGCAGUAA
rnacentral:rRNA from 1 species